rnacentral:lncRNA from 1 species
UAAAACACUAUAUUUUGUAUUAUAAGAGAGGAGAGAAAACUGCAGACCAAUGGUGUCAGCUAUGUUGAGACCAUUGCUACACCUUCUUGAAGCCCCAGUGUCAAAGUCUAUCCCAUAAGGAAGGUAAUUAACUUUAGCUGAUUUGUCAAGGUAGUUAUUGUUUCUGUUAUCAAAGAGAGAAUCUCCAAAGACGAAGUAGCAAGGAACUUGAGGUACGGCCUUUCCAUAAGUCUAGUGUUGCCAGUUUGACACCAGCAACACCGCGGACAGCCCACAAUGCCUUCAGCCCACUUUCCAUUGACAAGUAAAAUGAAAGAAGGAAACAGAAACAAUAGAUAUAGAAGGAAGAAGUGUGUAGCUAGGGAAGAGUGGUUUGAAGUAGAACGAACCAGGCCUAUUUAUAGAGUGGAGAUCUAGCUAUCCAGUGCUUCUUGUGUUGCGAAACUCAUUGUCAAGCAACCCACACACAAAGACAUUAAUUUCCGGAAAGCAAAGUAACUUGUAUUUAGACACCAGUACUUUUGGAAAUGGAAAAUCAUACCUAACAAAUAUUGAUUUGUGAACGAGAAGUAUAAGGAUGACACCACGAAGACGGUUGUUCUUCAAUAAGUCGUUUUUCAAUUUUUUAAAGAACCAUAAAAGAGAAGUAUUUUGUUGCGCUAAUUCAUUGCAUGAGCUCAUGACUCUUCAAUUUUGGUCAAUCAUGAGGGUGAAAUUAAUUACAUGGAGUUAAAGAGAAACAUAGGUCUUUAAAUUUACUUGAAAUAUAACUUCCACACUAACCCUUCAACUACCCUAUAAUCCAUUAGCCCUUCAAGUCUUAAAAUAUGCGAACCAUUAGAGAGAAGGAAUGAAGGGACAGAGUUGAUUUCAUAUGAAAAAUAAAAUAAAAUUAUGAAACAAGGUAUACAGAGGAUGUCCCACAUUUUUAAAAUAUUUUUCCAUAACUUACCCCCCUUCAUGUAAACAUAAACUUCGCCAAGUCUUAGCUUCAAGACAAUAUAUCCUAUGAAGGUGAGGGUGGUAAGAACAUAAUUAAGGAAUAGAUAGAGAGGCGUUAUGAGAGGUAACUCGACAUUCUCAAUAAUGAUUGCCAUUCUUUAUUAUUUUUGUGAAAUAAUUUCUUAGAGAAACUUCAUUCUGCAAUCGUCAUUCUUCAUAUGGUAAUUAACAUAAUAGAAAUUCCAAUAUUGUCAUUUAUAUCAAAAUAAUCUAAAAAUAUAUAAAAAGUUAUUUAAAAUAAAAAAAAUAUUUAAAAUUUUAGUUAAUAUGAUUUGCAUUGCGUUUUGAACCUGGAUCUAAAUAAGAGGCACAUGCAGCAGUAUGCGGUUUAGCUUUUUUCAAACCUUAAUUUUCACAAUAUCUUGUAAGAUCACAACAAAAAUCAUAAUUCAAAAAAACUAAAAAUAUAAAAUAUAAAGCGAUCAAUACAAAGGAAAAAGGGCAUGGAAUUUGAUAUUUUUAUUAUUAUUUCUUAAGAGAAACUUUAUUCAUUAGCUGUGUGGGCAUAAUUAUAAGUGGUGUUUAUCAAUCACUUAUAAGGCGUCAAGGCACUCAUGAAACACACCAUACAUGCAUAGUAUGGAAGAGAGGUGUAAUUAAUAAUUAAAAUUUUUUAAUAAUUAUUGUGCCCAAGAACAGAGCAAGAAAAUAAAAUUAAAAGGGUCAAAUUAGAUGAAUUAUUCUAGAAGGGUCAAGAUUUUAGUUGUUUCACUACUAAAACUAUAAAUAUUGUUAAGGAAGGAGUUGGAAAAAAAAACAUUUUCUGCAAAGACCGGGCUCUUGCUAGCACACUGUCUCCGCCACUGAUUGUACCCCACAUAUUUUUCAAUCAUUGCUAUCACUAUUUAAUGUAUAUUUUUAACCCUUCUUUUUUAUUUUAAGAGAUAGGUUACUAAUUCUAUAAAAAUAAAAAAUAAAAACUUAUUUUAAUUUAAAUUAUUAUCAUAAAUGUUUCGAUUUUCUAUUAAAUACAUCUCUAAAAUCAUAUCAUUUUUUUUAAAUAGUAUGCCAAUAAUACUAUAUACAUAAAAUUUGAAAUUAAAUGCUUAACUUCUUUUGUUUUUUUAUCUUAAAUAAUUGACACAAGAAAUUUAUAGAAACAAGAAAGUAAUUUUUUGAAAACAAAUUAGUUUAGAUGUCAAUAAUAUGUGUUAAAACCUAAUUAUAAAAGAGGCAUUAUUUUUAUUUUUUUAAAAUGAUGUAGAUCUAAAGACGAAUAACUUACUAGUUUGCCAUUAAUUUAAUGUGUGAGGGCGAUAACUACUAUGUUAGAUGACAAUAAUUUUACCGAGGGUUAUGAUGUAAAAGAUGGGUGGCUUUUCUGAAGUAAUUGAUAUCUCUACAUGUUAGUGAAACUUUUUAUUUUCUAUUGGAAAAAAAAUAUUUUGUGGUACUGAAUUAGCCCUUUUACUCCAAAUCUAGAAGAUUAUGUCAUUGAUAUCUCUACGAAUGGACUGAUCGUAUUAUUUCAAGGACGAUCAAUUUAAUUUGAUAAUUGAAUAUACUAUAAGGCUGAACCGAAAGGACUGUUGGCAGUAAGAAAAAUAGUAUAUGAUUGAAUUAUUUUGGAUUCUUGGGCAUAAUGAAGCAAUUCGCUUUUAAUUCUUCAGCUACCAUAAUUACUGCGGACUUGCAGGCAUGUGGUGGAGGUGUAAGAGCCGUUCGAAGAGAAGCACCUUUGUGUGCUCAAUUUCAUAUCAUUGGUAUGAAAAACGUUCCAGAAAAUGAAAAACAUUAGGCAAUUAUCAUACAAAUUAAAUAAAAAAUAAUGAAUUAAUAUAACAUCAAUUAUUUUUAUAUAUAAUAUAACACAUUUUUAAACAUCAUUGUUUAUAAAAAUAAUAUAUAAUUAAUAUCAUAUUCUUGAAACAUGAUAUCAAUUUAAUUAAAAUUUUAUCAUCAAUAAUUUAGCUUUAAUAAAAAAAUUUAAUUAAAUUAUUGUCAUUUUUAUUAUAUAAUAAAGUAUAUUUAUUGAAUUCAGUCUUAAUAGUUUAAGUUUACUAAACAUAGCAUAGCAUGACUGAAAAACAUGAAUGAAAAACAUAGUUUGCCAUUAAUUUAAUGUGUGAGGGCGAUAACUACUAUGUUAGAUGACAAUAAUUUUACCGAGAUAGGUUACUAAUUCUAUAGAAAUAAAAAAUAAAAACUUAUUUUAAUUUAAAUUAUUAUCAUAAAUGUUUCGAUUUUCUAUUAAAUACAUCUCUAAAAUCAUAUCAUAUUUUUUUAAAUAGUAUGCCAAUAAUACUAUAUACAUAAAAUUUGAAAUUAAAUGCUUAACUUCUUUUGUUUUUUUAUCUUAAAUAAUUGACACAAGAAAUUUAUAGAAACAAGAAAGUAAUUUUUUGAAAACAAAUUAGUUUAGAUGUCAAUAAUAUGUGUUAAAACCUAAUUAUAAAAGAGGCAUUAUUUUUAUUUUUUUAAAAUGAUGUAGAUCUAAAGACGAAUAACUUACUAGUUUUUUUUUUUGAAAGAAGCUGUUAUUAUUAAGUAAGGCAAAAUUGUGUAAUGCAAUCAUUACAUAUAGAAAAAGUUUGCUGAAUUAGCUAGCGAACCUACGUAACAUAAACCCUACAUACUCAAUAAAAACGUUCCACCAUCUGUUCCCUGCAUAGGAUCCAAAACAAUGCCCCAAUCAACAUAAAAUGCAUUGGAUUAAACAAAGUACCGAUAAAUAAUCUAUGAGGGUCAUAGCCAAGCCACAAAAUCAGAUAUUCUGUGCACUCCUUGAUUAGCGAGAUGAUCUGCCAUGUGAUUGCUUUCCCGGUAAGAAUGAGAGUAGGUGAUUGAAUCAAAACAUGAAGCUAGCCUCUGAGCUGAAGAUAAGAGUUUAUGAUGAAUCCAAGGCCUAUUAUAAGAAUUAUUCAUCCAGCUAAUGACAUUGGCAGAAUCAGAUUCGAUACUAAUAUGUUUAUGAUGUAAGAAGCAGUUAGAGGCUGACAAUUCAAUAGCUUUGACUACUGCUCUCAGCUUAGCUACAUUAGAGUCCAAGAUCCCAAUCGGCAUAGAAAAAAUACCUAAAAGUAUUCCAUGAUGAUUCCGCAAACCACCACCUAUUCCGGAGGGGCCAGGUUUUCCGAUAGAGGAUCCAUCAACAUUCCAUUUGAAUCUAUUCGUCAUAGGGGGAGACCACAUAAUACCAAUCCUUAACUUUUGAGAAUUAGUCCACCGAACCAGACCUUCAGCAAAUCGAAGCAAAUCUGAGGAGGAGUAGGGAAAAUCCGGUUCUAUAGCCUUUAACCAUAAGUAAAGCCGAUAACAAUAAGGAAGAACAAAGUAUCAUAAUCUGGGAUCUUCUGCUUAAAUAUUACAUCAUUGCGAAGAAGCCACAUAGACCAUGUCGCAGAAAAGAACAACAUCACCCAUACUUUUUUCUGAAAUUUGCCAUAAACCAAAGAGUCCCACUGAGAGAGAGAUUUGCCAAGUUCCUUGGACAACACCAAGCUAAGCCCCACCAAUGGAUGAUUUUGGACCAAAUGAGCCAGUGCUUGUAGCAAUGAAUAAAAAGGUGGUCGACCAUUUCUUCCUCAGCCAAGCAGAUCAGACAGAUUGCAGCUGAGAUAUCCAGUAUGCCUCUUUUAACUAACAUGCUGCGGGUGUUGAUUUUGUUGAUGAUGGUCAUCCAGCAAAAAACCUCUACUUUAGGUGGGACAAGACCUCUCCAAAUCCCCCUAAAGGAGAAGACAGUGUUCAAUGGAGAACUAGGAGAUAAAAGCCCACAUAGAGAUUUAACCGAGUAUCUUCCUGUGUUAUUGGCUUUCCAGACAAGCCUAUCCUCUGCUUCUUUGUCCAGUUGCAUUCUUGACAGAAUAGCGUACAUUUGAGUAAGAAGUCCAGUAUUCCGGCCUCUCAAAUCUCUGAUCCAGGAGAAAACCCAGCACCAUGCAUGACCAUCCCACAUUCCCAUCUUUUCUAGGCUGGCGUCUUUAUCGUUGGACAACUGAAAUAGAGUAGGGAACUUCUCUGCCAAUCUGCCAUUGUCUGUCCAGUCAUCAAGCCAAAACUUAAUCCUUUUUCCAUUGCCAACUAGCAUCACAGUGUUAUUAGUCACAAUAUUCCGCAAUCUAGAAUCUUUGCCACAGUAAUUAACAAGCCGAGACCAUGUGCUUCCAGCACCUGUGAUAUGAUCCUACGGUAUAAGACUGUGGUAUUUAGGAUUGUAAAUGCUUGUAAUCACAUCCUUCCACAUGCUCGACUCCUCAGAGCCAUACCUCCAAAGCCAUUUGAAUAGUAGAGCUUUAUUUUUGUUUUGCAGAGAUCCAAUGCCAAGUCCACCAGCACUCUUUGGCAUCGACACAGUUGGCCAGCCAACAUUGCAUAUAGACUUGCCUUCCUCUUUUCCGGACCACAAAAAGCAUCUAAACUUCUUUUCAAUUGCUGAUGAUACCGCCACAGGCAUAGGGAACAAAGAGAGAAAGUAAAUUGGCAAGUUGCUACGAACCGAUUUAAUUAAGCAUAACCUCCCCUCUAUCGAUAAGAGCUUCCCUUUCCAUGCAGCCAACCUAGAGCUGAUAUUUUGAAUGAUAGGAUUCCACAUCAGAAGUCUGCAGGAAUUUGCACCAAUGGGGAGGCCAAGAUAUUUGAAAGGGAGGUGCCCUUGCUUACAUCUUAGUGUUUGUGCAGUGUAGUCACACACGUGAUCUUCUAUACCCACACCAAAGAUACUGCUUUUGGAGAAGUUAACUUUCAAGCCUGACAUGAGCUCAAAGCACAAUAGUAUGCGCUUAACAUUCUGCAUGCUUUCUAAGGAGGUUGAACUAAAAAUGAGUGUGUCGUCUGCAAAUUGUAGAUGAGAUAAAUGAAAACCAGCCUGCCCGAUGCUCACUCCCUCAAUCAGCCCCAGAUCACACCCUCGAAUUAAUAUCUCUAUGUUAGUGAAACUUUUUAUUUUCUAUUGGAAAAAAAUUAUUUUGUGGUACUGAAUUAGCCCUUUUACUCCAAAUCUAGAAGAUUAUGUCAUUGAUAUCUCUACGAAUGGACUGAUCGUAUUAUUUCAAGGACGAUCAAUUUAAUUUGAUAAUUGAAUAUACUAUAAGGCUGAACCGAAAGGACUGUUGGCAGUAAGAAAAAUAGUAUAUGAUUGAAUUAUUUUGGAUUCUUGGGCAUAAUGAAGCAAUUCGCUUUUAAUUCUUCAGCUACCAUAAUUACUGCGGACUUGCAGGCAUGUGGUGGAGGUGUAAGAGCCGUUCGAAGAGAAGCACCUUUGUGUGCUCAAUUUCAUAUCAUUGGUAUGAAAAACGUUCCAGAAAAUGAAAAACAUUAGGCAAUUAUCAUACAAAAUAAAUAAAAAAUAAUGAAUUAAUAUAACAUCAAUUAUUUUUAUAUAUAAUAUAACACAUUUUUAAACAUCAUUGUUUAUAAAAAUAAUAUAUAAUUAAUAUCAUAUUUUUGAAACAUGAUAUCAAUUUAAUUAAAAUUUUAUCAUCAAUAAUUUAGCUUUAAUAAAAAAAUUUAAUUAAAUUCUUGUCAUUUUUAUUAUAUAAUAAAGUAUAUUUAUUGAAUUCAGUCUUAAUAGUUUAAGUUUACUAAACAUAGCAUAGCAUGACUGAAAAACAUGAAAGGAUAUCACUCUAAUUAAUAUUUGAAAGGCAUGCAUUUUUAAUUCGCAUAGACCACUCCCCUUUUAUUCACAAGCCUCAACUUUUCUGGAGUAGAAGUUUAGAUUUAUGAGGUCAUUAAACAACAUCUAACACCUCAUUAACCAAUGUUAUUAUUCAUUAAGGUGUGGUUUGACCACCUAAUUUUGAAUUUCUAAAGUCAACAAUCCUAAAGAAAUUGUUUGUUCUCCCUUUUUAAUUAGUUAUUUUUUAAAUUCAAAUCUAAGGACUAGCAUCCAGGAAAUUUUAUUCGUCAAUUUUAUUUCCCUGCAUGUUUUCCACAUUUCAAGUAUUAUUAUUAUACUUUACAUAUUCAAGCAUUCUGAAUUAGGUUAUCUUAAUAAUGAAUAGGUAUUUAUUCUUUGUUAUAAAAUUGAACACUCUUACAGGGUGUUUAUUUUGCAUAAUAUUUUAUAAAAAAAAUAUUUUCCUGGUUUUCCAAUAAUUAUUUUUAAAAAUAUUUCAUAGUUAAUUUUUAAAUUUAGUUCAUAUGUUGUAAAUAUUUUCAGCUUAUGAGGUUUUUAAAAAUAUUUUAUAGAUAACAAUUAAAAUAUCAUCCAAUAAUACCAUUAUUAUCAUCUGACCUCUACCAACCUCUUACCCUUAUCCUUACACUAGCCAUUAAUGCUGCUACGAGUGUGUUUGUUUUUUAUGUAGUUUUUGUGGUUGUGGUUUUUAAAAAAUAUAAUUAGGUGUGGUUAGUUGUAUUUAGAUACGUGUUUGGUAAAAAUUAUGGUUGAGAUUUAUAUGCAGCAAAAAAAACAUGUAUAAAAUGUUUAGAUGUGAUUGCUUUUUAAAAGUGCGCUUUUUACUUGGAAAUGUAUCAAAAUAUUUUUUUUAAAAAAAUUAUUUUUGAUAUCAUCGUAUCAAAAUAUUCUGAAAAUACAAAAAAACUAAAUAAAAAAAACUUCAAAUUUUGAAAAAAAUGCUUUUGAAAUGCAAAAACAAACAUAGUUUUACGAAACUCAGUUAAAAAAGCAUAUAAAAAAUGUUUCACAAAAACUGUGUUUCAAACUCAAUUUUUUGCUGGCCCCCACAAUAUAAAAUGCAAUUUGGUGUAUUGCCAAACAACUAACUAUGUUUUUUACUCCGCAAACACAAAAGCUAAGACUAAACAAUCACACCCUUACAGUGUUUGCCAAACAACUAACUAGGUCUGGCUAACACAAUUUUCUGUCGCAGUGACUCCUUCCCAGUCAGAUACCUUGGGUUGCCUCUUGGUGCUAACCCAAAUAGGCUCUCCACUUGGAAACCGGUAUUGUCCACAAUCAGAGCAAAGUUAAGCAAAUGGAAAGGGAAGUUUUUGAGCAUGGCCGGAAGGAUAUGUCUUAUUAAAUCUGUCUUAAACUCUCUACCUCUAUACUAUAUGUCGGUCUUUAUUAUGCCAAAGGGCAUUGCAAAAGCAAUAUCCUCAAUCAACCGUUGUUUUCUCUGGAAGGGCUCCUCAAAUUCACAUGGUAUUUGUAAGGUUGCUUGGCAUAAGGUAAUUAAGAGUAAGCCAUUGGGAGGUCUCGGGCUUGGUUUAUUCACAGUAAAAAUCUGGCUCUGAUGUUUAAAUGGCUUUGGAACCUUGACAAAGGAGUGGUAGGAGGUUGGCAAGAGCUCAUCUUACGAAAGUACCGGCCACAUUUUUCAAAUGGCCUUCCUAUGUUUGCAGGUUCUUUAUCUCCAACUUGGCGUGGCAUGGUAUCUGCAAUUUCUUUAAAUCACAGGAUAUCCGCUCCCAUCCAAUCCAACGUUGGGUUUAAGGUGGGUGAUGGGAGAAACAUCAGGUUUUGGUCUGAUUCUUGGCUAGGCUAUGCAGCCCCUCUCCAGUUCAUGUUCCCUAGGCUCUACAACCUCUCCCUGCAGCAAUCUUUAAGCGUUGCAGAAGUUCAUAACCCAACAGAUAACUCAAUCAAUCUUUCUUGGAGAAGACCACUUUGAUCCCGAGAACUCUGCAUGUGUGAAAGCUUGAUAGCAGAAGUGGAACGUGGCCUAGUCUUCUCUGAUGGUGAAGACAACAAGAUUUGGAAACACCAUAGCUCCAACAAUUACACAGUCUCCUCUGGGUGCCAUCUCUUUGACGGUUUAAAUGUUUCAGGACAUCUGCACUCCCCUGCUUUGCUUUGGAAAGGGUUUGCGCCUCCAAAAAUAGAUGUGUUCAUAUGGCUUCUUUUCAAUGGCAGUGUCUGCACAAAGGGUUUCUUAGCUGAGAGGAGAAUCAUCAAUUACGAGGAAGCUCUUUGUCCUUUCUGCUGCAAGAGAUUGAGACUACACAUCAUCUUUUCCAUCUUUGUCCAAAAUCAUGGUCUCUUUGGGGCAGACUAUUUAGUUGGUUUGGGUGUGUAGGUUGUCUGCCAAAAGAACCAUAUCAUAACCUUCAGGAAUGGUCCAACAUGGUAAAAGGAAAAUUCCAGCGUCAGGCAAUUACCCUUCUCUGUAAAGGAUUAUACUGGUCAAUUUGGAUAGCGCGCAACCACAUGAUCUUUGACAACAAAACUCCAGACUGGGAUGUGAUUUUUGACCUCACCUUUCAUCGGUUGGCCUUUUGGUUGAAGUCCUUUGUUAAAAAUUUCAACUAUACGGGCUCUGAUCUUUAUAGGAAUCCUGAAUGUAUUAUGAACUGGACUAACUAGUCAGGUCUUUAGAUUCCUUAUUUUCUUAAUGUAUUUUGAAUUUUCCAUGUAAUCUUCCUUAUCAGCCCUCAUCUCCUUAAUGGGGGCAUAUUAUUUAUAAUAUUCUCGAUUACUAUCAAAAAAAAAAAAAAAACAAUCACACCCUUACAACUAUUGCUAUUAUUAUUUUAUCACCUAAAUAUAUCAUUAUCAUUUUACUACCACUAUAUUUUUGUCACAUCAUUAGUUAUAAAAAAAUAUUAUGAAAAUACUAUCCAUAUAAAAUGUUUUAUAUGUAAAAUAUUUUAUAUUGGUAAAAACAAUUCUAUCUUAUAUCAAACAUUAAAAGUCACAAUUACAUAAUUACAUUGAUAAAAAAAAUAUUCACAAUUGCAAAUUUAAUUUAUAUAUAUUAACUACUUGGAUAAAUGAUUUUUUUCGUAUAUAAUUCAAAUAAAUUAAAACACCAAGUUACCAGAACAGCAGUAACAAGAUGAAAACAGUGCACACGUAGAAAAAAAUAUAUUUUAUAUUGGUAAAAACAAUUCUAUCUUAUAUCAAACAUUAAAAGUCACAAUUACAUAAUUACAUUGAUAAAAAAAGAUUCACAAUUGCAAAUUUAAUUUAUAUUAACUACUUGGAUAAAUGAUUUUUUUCAUAUAUAAUUCAAAUAAAUUAAAACACCAAGUUACCAGAACAGCAGUAACAAGAUGAAAACAGUGCACACGUAGAAAAACAAAAUUGAUAAAAUAUACAUGAAAAGAGAACCAAAAUUAAAACACCAAGAGCUUUUCUAUUUGCAACCAAUUCAGCUUGAUUUGAAUACAUUACUCCUUAUUUAUAAUCUUUUUUUUUUAUGAAAAAGAUCUUUUUAUUAAUGAUAUUAUUUUUUUAAAUAAAAGUCAAAGUAAUUAAAAUAAAUAUUCAUAACAAUCUCAAUACUUUAAGAAGGGAAAAAAUUAUUUCUUGGGGAAAAACUUUCAUUUCCUUAUUGUUUUUUUCUUACAAAAACAUGUCGUUUUAGGAGCAUAUUUUUUAAAAUAAUAACUUAUUUUAAUCUAAAGAGCAAGUUUCAAACAAAAAUAAAAAUAAAAAACUCAUGUCUUCAUUGAAUAUUCAUAUACAAUUUUAUUUUACAGUAUUGUGCAUAUUACUCUCAUAUAUAAUUAUUAACAAAGUUAUUACAAAUAUAACUAUAAAAAGCUAUCAUUUUAUUUUAAACAAAUAUGGCAUAAUCAGAAUUUUUUUAAAUAUCAUUGUAAAUAAUAAUUUAAAGCAAUUUUUUUAAAUAAAAACAAAAGUAUUUCUUGGCUUAGAAGGUCAGGCUAGCAUGGCAUUUUUUCUUUUAAAUUAAAAAAAACUUUAAGAAUUCAUCGAUAACAUUGCUACUGCUGAACCAACUUGCAUUUGCACAGCAUGAUGGCCAACACUUUUAAGUUUCUCCUAACCUGUAUAGUAUCCUUAUAUCUGAGCUACCACGUCUUGCUUCACUGCGAACACACUGUAUAUAAGGCGUUCACUACAAAGGAAAAAAUAACUCUUUUGGUUUAUGUACUUACAUAUGUAUCCUUCUUUUGAUUUCAAUGGCAAGUGUAUCUCCGAAUAGACUUCCAUAUGUUAAGAAUAAAUCUCUCUAUGAAUGGAUUUUAUGUCUGAUAUCCACAUGAUUAAGGAAUUAAGUAAUUGUUAUUGUCUUCUUGAGGCGAAUUCCCUUCUAGCAGGCAUCAUUAUGAAUUCAUUAAUUAAAAUCAUAACAACUUUCGGAAUGCGUAAAUGCAAAUUUUAUUGGAAUUAUAUUGUGCAAGGCUAUGAAAAGACAGUAUAUAUGUCUUUCCAUUGUUCUUACAGUCACAAUAUCUUAUUCUCUUACUCCUUAUUACACAAUCGUCUUCUACAUCAGAGCUGGGCAUGGUUGAUAUCGUAAGCAUCAGAAUCAUCAAGCUUCAGCUUAACUAGUUCGCUGAUAUCAUAUGGAUAGGAGUCCUUUGGUGACUGACGUUUAUAUGUUCUUUUUCCAAAGGCCCAAGCUUUAGCUUCAGUAAAAUGGGCUCCGUCCCAGUACACAUAGUCACUCCUGUUGCUACAUGGGAAGGAGAGAGAUUUACAUGGGACUGUACCAGGUACUACGUCGCAACAGCUCUUACGGGUAUGUGUAAAACCUGCAAGCAAGAAAAAAUAAUUUUGGUCUCACAAAAAAAGUCGUCUUCAACCGUGAGAUAAAGAGAGCAAGGGAGGGAGGGGAUUCGUACCUGUAUUUGUCUGAUCAUCGGAAUCAAUUUCAUAAGAGUUUAUGUAGGUAAACACAGCAUCAGAAUGCCUAUAAUUAAGUUUUAUGAGCAGUUCUUGAAGAUUGUCGUUGAAAAUUUGAACAUCAUCAUUGAACUUUUCUACACAUGAAGAAGAUGAAUCUACGUCAUUGGGAUGUUUUUGUAUGUUGUUCGGCAUACAUCCUACCCGAAUAAGUCCAAGCACAGCUAUCUUUCUUGCUCCUGAGCAAUACAGUUUCUGGCAGCAAGGGAAAAAAAAAACGGAAUGAAGUGGGGGUCUUUGUUAGUUUCCAAUCGCGUCAAACAUUAAUUGUUGUUUUACAAGAGACAUUAAGUAGGACUAACCUCCAGCUGAGUUUCAUAAUUCUCAUUGAGAAGUCGAGCAAAUUGUUCAGGAGUAUAUUCCUUGCUGCUAUUGUAGUCGUCCAAGAAAUAAUUGUUGAGGUAGUCGUUAUGGCCCAUAUCAGACACAUAGAUGCAUUGGCUCAAGUACUUCCUAGCAACUUCCUCGCUUCCCAAGAUCUUGGAAAUUCGUGAAACCGUGAUAUUGUGAUUAAAUAACUGAGCAUUCAUUGUAAAUAGUUCUCCCUUCACAUACACAAAAAAAACAUAUGAAUAGUUAGCGUUGCCAAAGCAUACAAGAUUACGCAAAAUUCAUACGGAAUAAUACAAGGUUUUAGUUAUGAGAGGCAUAUGAUCAGUAAUCACCGCAAGAGAGCCAGUAGAAUCAAGGAUGCCAGCUCCAUUAGAUCCAUAAUUUACACCAUCUAGAAAAUUAGUGCAACCUCCGACACCAAAGUCCGAAAUGUAACUGUCGAAACCUAAUUGUUCAGCUGAAACAAAAAAAUAAUAAUAAUAUUAACAUCGGUUAAGGCAAGUCAUCUUUCAGCAACAAAAACAUUAGUACCAGACUUGGCAAGAUUUCUAAUUGUAAUUUAAUACAAUGGUCACAACUAUCUAGUGAGAACAUUUUUAUUUUUCAUUAAAGAAAACUAACACACUAUAUUUUGUAUUAUAAGGGAGGAGAGAAAACUGCAGACCAAUGGUGUCAGCUAUGUUGAGACCAUUGCUGCACCUUCCUGUAGCCCCAGUAUCAAAGUCUAUCCCAUAAGGAAGGUAAUUAACUUUAGCUGAUUUGUCAAGGUAGUUAUUGUUUCCGUUAUCAAAGAGAGAAUCUCCAAAGACGAAGUAGCAAGGAACUUGAGGUACGGCCUUUCCAUAAGUCCAGUGUUGCCAGUUUGACACCAGCAACACCGCAGACAGCACCCACAAUGCCUUCAGCCCACUUUCCAUUGACAAGUAAAAUGAAAGAAGGAAACAGAAACAAUAAAUAUAGAAAGAAGAAGUGCGUAGCUAGGGAAGAGUGGUUUGAAGUAGAACGAACCAGGCCUAUUUAUAGAGUGGAGAUCUAGCUAUCUAGUGCAUCUUGUGAUGCGAACCUCGUGAUCACGUGGUCAUACAACCCACUCGCAAAGACAUCAAUUCCUAGAAAGCCAAGUAAAUCAAGUUUGAUAGGAGUGUGACACAAAAAUAACUUGUAUUUAGACACCAGCACUAUUGGAAACGAAGACCCCCACCCAACAAGUAUUAAUUCGCGAACGAGAAGUAUAAGAAUGAUGUCACGAAGAUAGUUAUUCUUCGAUAAGUCGUUUUUCAGUUUUUUAGAGAACCAUGAAAGAGAUAUUAUCCCACUAACACACACACACAAAGUGCGGCAAACAUAAAGUUUUAUUAAUCUGAAUUGUCUAACUUACAUGUCUGGUUAUGCCUUUAUUUAUACUAACUCUAGACUUAAAUAUACCCUAAUGGACCACUCUUAGGUGGACUUAUAUGAAGCCCACUUACAAUUGACCCAAAUAAGUAAUAAUAACCCAAAGACUAAGAAGAAAAUAAUAAAAAAUAAAUUAAAUCCAAAAAUUAUCAUCCUAAAUAUGCUAGAAUCAGAUUUGUCACCCUUAAGAAGUCCCCAAUAAACUAGGAAAUCUGAUCGGAAGGUAGAAUUAAUUUUGAAGUCUCUUUUGCUUGUUGUAGCUAGGAUGAAUAAGGAAUCCUUGUAAGAAAACGAUUUUGAAACAUUAAUGAAUCUUUACCACACUUGAAAAAUUAUAUUGCAGCCCAUUAAAGAUCCUUGUAGAAUUAGGAUAUUUCCAAAACAAGUUGUUACUUCCUUUUAGGAAAAAAAUCCUAGCCAAAUAGAAAGUCUACAAGUCAAAAUGAAGUAAAUAACAAAAUUCGUACAGCCUCUGUUGACCUCUAUUGCAAUGCAUUCCCGAACUCCGAUAGACCUGAAAUUUUAACCUAAGGUAGCUAGGACAAUAUAUCAGGAGACCCCACGUAAAAUUUCAACCUGAUCAACGGUCGGAUUGCGAAUUAUGACUAUUGAUGUAAAAUAAAAUAAUUGCAUACUUUACAUCAUAAUUUGACCUUACCUAGAUCAUAUCUUCUUGUAAGCGUGUUCUGUUGUAAGCCACUUGGUUUUUUCAAUCUAAAUAGGAGGGCACAUGUACUGUUAAUGUCUUUUACCUGAGCAUCAACUCCCGUAUGUUUGAAAUUGUAAUAAUAAUAAUAAAUUAAAAUAUAUAUUUUUUAGAAAUAUAUUAAAAUAUUUUUUUAUUUUUAAAAAAUUAUUUUUAAUAUUAAUAUAUCAAAAUAAUUUAAAAAUAUAAAAAAUUUAUUUUAAAUAAAAAAAUAUUAAAAUUUUUAAUGAAUAUGAUUUGCAUUGUGUUUUUAAACUGGAUCUAAAUAAGAGGGCACAUGCAGUAUUGUGCGGUUCAUCUUUUCUCAAACCUUAAUUUUCACAAUAUCUUGUAAGAUCACAACAAAAAUCAUAAUUCAAAAAAACUAAAAAUAUAAAAUAUAAAGCGAUCAAUACAAAGGAAAAAGGGCAUGGAAUUUGAUAUUUUUAUUAUUAUUUCUUAAGAGAGACUUUAUUCAUUAGCUGUAUAGGCAUAAUUAUAAGUGGUGUUUAUCAAUCACUUAUACGGCGUCGAGGCCCUUAUGAAACACACUAUACAUGCGUAAAAUGCCACACAAGAAGAAAUUUUUCAUAACUAUAGCAUGGUGGUCGAACUCCAGUUUUCUCUUUUUAGAGUUCUCAUGUCUUGAGAUGGUUAUUGAGAGAGGUGUAAUUAAUAAAAAAAAAUUAAUCAUUAUUGUACCCAGGGGCAAAGCAGGAAAAUAAAAUUAAAAGGGGUCAAAUUAGAUGAAUUAUUCUAGAAGGGCCAAGAUUUCAGUUGUUUCACUACUAAAACUAUAAACAUUGUUAAGGAAGGGGUUGAAAAAAAAAAUAACAUUUUCUUGCAAGGGUCGGGGCUUUUGCUAGCCCCUUUGUCUCCCCCACUGAUUGUACCCCACAUAUUUUUCAAUUGUUGCUAUCACUAUUUAAUGCAUCUUUUUAACCCUUCUUUUUUAUUUUAAGAAAUAGGUUACUAAUUCUAUAGAAUUAAAAAUUUUAUCUUAAUUUAAAUUAGUCUCAUAAAUGUUUCGAUUUUCUAUUAAAUGCACCUCUAAAAUCAUAUCAUUUCUUUAAAUAGUAUGCCAAUAAUACUAAAUAAAUAAAAUUUGAAAUUAAAUGCUUAACUUUUUUGUUUUUUUAUCUUAAAUAAUUGACACAAGAAAUUUAUAGAAACAUGAAAGUAAUUUUUUGAAAACGAAUUAGUUUAGAUGUCAAUAACAUGUUUAAAACCUAAUUAUAAAAGUGAUAUUAUUUUUAUUUUUUUCAAAUGAUGUAGAUCUAAAGAAAAAUAACUUACUAGAUUGCCAUUGAUUUCAUGUGUGAUGGCGAUAACUAUUAAGUAAACUAAACAAAUCAUAGCAAUCACAGCAGUGGCACCUCCAGACUAGCUGUAACCAUUUACAUCAAUACCAAAUCUUGUGUAUUCCAUAAUUCUAGGAUCAUUUUUUUUCCCGUUACAUAUCUUUGAUUGCCUAAACUUAUGCUCUUGGGUUGUAUAAAGAUACAGAGUAUGUAUAGAGACAUGUGUUUUUAUAAUAAGAACAACCAUAACAUUUUGCAUCCUCUUUAUGGUAUUAGAGUUGUAAUCUCUAACGAGUUUUUUUUUUUUUUUUAUCUUCUGCAACAUGGCUACCAUCUCUACAUCUACCAUUGAUUCACUCAUCAUCACUCUCAAUACCGCCACCACCAUCAAUGAAAAACUCACCCCUUCCACCUUUCCUCAGUGGAGAGCUCAAUUUGAGGCAUUACUCAUUGGUUAUGAUCUCAUUGACUUUGUCACCAGUGCAAAAGUAUUUCUAGUUGUUGAUACAACCAACUCUGCUGCCUCCACAACCAUGAGUUCCCACUAGCUUCACCAAAACAAACUCAUCCUCCAUGCCAUUCUUUCCUCCACCUCUACGACUAUCACCCCACUCCUUACUUUAUACAAAACAUCUCAUGAAGCUUGGACAACACUUACCCCUCUCUAUACUAAAAAAUCAAGAACACGAACGAUGCAGCUCAAGGAAGAUUUAACCUUAAGCACUCAUGAAAAUCACAUAGUUACUAAGUCCCUUCAAGCAAUUAAAAUGCUUGUUGACAAACUUGCAAUCAUCUAUCAUCUAAUUUCAAAUGAUGAUUUAACCCUUACAUCCUUAAUGGAUUGGGUCCCGAAUUCAGAGAAAUUGCAGCACCCAUUCGCACUAGUGACACUUCUUUGAAAUUUGAAGAUCUACAUGAUCUUCUUGUAGGUCAUGAAAAUUAUCUUCGAUGGUUGGAGAAUCAAUCGCCAACCUUUAUUCCCACUACAAAUUACUAUUAUCGGAAGGAACUGGGCAGUAUAAACCAAGCAAUAAGUCUUUCUUUCAGAAGACCCGCAGCUUAUAUGGGUACAACAAAUAUUGGCCCUCACCUUCAGGCUAUAGGAAAUUUAAGCCUAAGUGCUAGUGGUGUGAUCAAGUGGGCCGUACAGCAAAAAAUUGCCCAAAAAUGCCUUAUACUGAAUUCACUGCAAACUAUGCAGUAUCCUCUCAAGAGAAGAAACAAAAGUGACUAGUUGACUCAGCAGCAUCUCAUAAUAUGACCAUUCAUCUCUCUAAAUUGACGAUUAAUUCUGAAUAUGAUGGUACUGAUGAGGUGGUUAUUGGUGAUGGAUGAGGUUUGCCUGUAUCUCAUAUUGGUUCAUUAUCUAUAGCAUCAUCUAAACGUGUCUUUCAAUUACGUAAUACUCUUUGUGUUCCUACAAUUCAAAAAAAUCUUAUUUUUGUUCAUCAUUUCACCAAACAUAAUAAUGUUUAUCUUAAAUUUCAUCCUACUUAUUUUCUAGUGAAGGAUCGGAUCACGAGGGUGACAUUACUUAGAGGCGAUUGUGAAGAUGGUGUGUACCUAUUUCCAGAAUAACUACCUCUAAAAAAUGUUGUUGCCUAUGUCCACGAACAUACCACCACUAAUGGAUGGAACAAAAGACUUGGUCAUCCAUCGUCAAAAUUGGUUCAUCAUUUAAUUCACACUUUUUCUUUACCCACAAAUAAGAAUGAAUCCUUAUCUCUUUGUUCUUCAUGUUCUUAAAAUAAAGCACAUCGUCAGACUUUUAAUAAUCAUGGUCUCACUAGCAUUGCUCCAUUGGAUUUGAUUUAUAGAGAUGUUUGGGGUACUCCAUCACAUGCAGUUGGAAUCGAUGGUUCUAAAUAUUAUUUUAUUUUUGUUGAUCACUAUACCAAAUACACUUGGCUCUACCCUAUGACUCAUAAAUCAACAGUUCAAAUAAUUUUUCUGCAAUUCAGAAAUCUUGUGGAAAAUAAAUUUAACACCAAAAUCAAGAGUCUUUAUUCUGACAAUGGUGGAGAAUAUAUCAAUCUCAAAUCCUACCUUUCAGUUCAUGGAAUUAGUCAUUAUACGACCACUCCCCAUACCCCACAGCAAAAUGGUAUGUCUGAAAGACGUCAUCGAUACAUUGUUGAGACUGGUCUCAUCUUACUCAUAGAUGCUCACAAGCCCCUCUCAUACUGACCAUACGCUUUUCAAGUUGCGGCCUACCUUAUAAAUCGAAUGCCCACCUCCACCUUAAAUAAUCAAUCUCCGUUUGAAAAAUUGUUCAAACAACAUCCAAACUAUCUUAAACUCAAGCAAUUCAGCUAUCUUUGUUAUCCUUAUAAUCAACACAAGCUGGAACCUAAGGCCACACCAUGUAUAUUUAUGGGUUACUCACUCUCUCAAAAUUCUUAUCUCUGUCUUGAGUCGAAAACCCGAAAGUUGUUUCACUCUCGACAUGUCAUCUUCCACAAAGAGACUUUUUAUUUUUAGACCUCAUCCUCCACCAACGCCAUGCUCAUCUCACCUUCAUCAACAAUUAAAGACUCUGCUAUUCAAAUCUCCUUGCCGCAAGUUCCCGUGCCUUUUCCUCAUCCAAUAUAAUCUCUAGAAUUGGGUGUUGCUGCCUCACCAUCGUCUACAAAUGGAUCACCCCUUGCAUCUCUUCCUUCUCAUGUAAGUACUCCCUGCUCUCCCACUUUACUUUCCAGCCAAAUUCCUCCAUUAGAAGUGCCUGCCCCUGCUAUUUCUGAGCACACUGACGUGCGCACCCACAGAAUGACCACUCGUUCCAUGAAUGAUAUUUACAAACUAAAAAAAAUCCUUUGUAGUCACUAAACACCCUCUUCCAGCCUUCUUGGAACCUACAAGUGUCUCUAAAGCACUCACUGAUUCCAACUGGCGCACUGCCAUAUCCUCUGAAUUGAUUGCGUUAAUGUCUCACAAUACAUGGCACCUUGUUCCCCCUAAUUGUAAUAUUAUUAGCUGUAAAUGGGUGUUCCAGAUUAAAAGGCAUGCAAGUGGUUUAAUUGAUCGAUUUAAGGCCAGACUAGUAGCCAAAGGGUUCAAUCAGAGACUAGGACUAGAUUACAAAGAGACAUUCAGUCUAGUUGUAAAAUCAGUGACCAUUCGUAUUGUCUUAACCAUUGCCAUUAUGCAAGGUUGGUCUCUCAUGCAAUUAGAUGUAAAUAAUGACUUUCUUCAUGGGCAUCUCACUGAAAAAGUCUAUAUACUGCAACCGCCUGGUUUCAAGAGUAUGGAAAAUCCACAUCAUGUUUGUUGUCUUAUAAACAUAAUAUACGGGCUAAAACAAGCACCUCAUGCUUGGUAUUUUGUUCUCAAAAUGGCACUCUCAAAAUUUGGUUUCAUCAAUGCUAAAUCUGACUCUUUUCUCUUUGUGUUUUCUGAUGGUUUAAUACUUGUAUAUUGCCUCGUUUAUGUUGAUGAUUUGAUCCUCACUAGAAACAACACGCCAUUUGUUGCAAGCAUUAUUGCACAGCUUGGACAAAAAUUAUCCAUCAAGGACUUGGGGCCCUUACAUUUUUCCUUGGAAUUGAAGCCAUCCCUACUGCUGAUGGCUUGUUUCUAAAUUAGCAUCAGUAUAUUCGAGACUUGCUUACUAAAACCAGUAUGGAUGGAGCUAAGGAUGUCACAACUCCCCUCUCUGUCUCGGUUCCUUUAAAGCUGGCAGAUGGUUCCUCAACAAUUGAUCCCACAAAAUAUUGAUGAGUGAUUGGUGCAUUGCAAUACCUCAGCUUAACUCGUCUUGAUAUCAGUUUUGCAGUCAAUAAACUCUCACAAUUUAUGCAUCGUCCAACACAGAUUCACUGGACCGCCACAAAAUUACUACGGUGUUAUCUAAAUAACACUAUCUUCAUGGCAUAAAUAUCAGGAACACUUCAAACCUAGCCUUGACAUGUUUCUCAUAUGCUGAUUGGGAUGGUAGCUUGGAUGACAGAAAAUCAACUUCAUCUUAUAUUAUUUUCCUUUGUCCCACAUUUAUCUCAUGGAGCUCGAAAAAGCAACGUGCCAUUGCUCGGUCAUCCACCGAAGCUAAAUAUAAGGCUUUAGCCACUGCUGCAGCUGAGUCCAUGUGGCUGCUCUCCCUACUUCACAAAAUGAAGUUUUCCUUACUACACUCACCUAUACUUUUCUGUGAUAAUUUAGGAGGCACUCAGUUAAGAUUUAAUCCUAUCAAGCACUCAAGAAUGAAGCACAUUCAAAUAGACCUUCACUUUGUGCGAGAUUUGGUUGAAAAAAAGCUUAUUCAUGUUCGUCAUGUCCACAUUAAUGACCAGCUUGCUGAUUUACUCACCUAGCCACUUUCUAGACAAUGGACAUAAUUUCUACGAGACAAGAUUAGCCUAACUGAUGGUAGCUCGUUCUUGCGGGGGCGUAUUAAGGAAACUAAGAAAAUCACAUCAAUCACAGCAGUGCCACCUCCAGUCUAGUUGUCACCAUUUAUGUCAAUACCAAAUCUUGUGUAUUUCAUAAUUUUAGGAUCAAUUUUCUUUCUAUUAAAUAUAUUUGAUUGCCUAAACUUAUGCUCUUGGGUUGUAUAAAGAUACAGAGUAUAUACAGAGACAAAUGUGUAUUUUUAUAAUAAGAACAACCAUAACAUUUUGCAUCCUCUUUAAUAACUACUAUGAGUUUUCAUAUGACAGUAAUUUUACUGAAGGGUAUGAUGUAGAAGAUGGGUGGCUUUCCUGAAGUAGUUGAGGUCUCUAUAGAUUAGUGAAACUUUUUAUUUUUUAUUGGAAAAAAACUUGGAAAAGAAAAUUAUUUUGUGAUACGGAACUAGCUCUUCGACUCCAAAUCUAGGAGAAUAUGUCAUUUAAAUAAGGAUUUAGAAAUUGAGUUUUGUUAUUCAAAAGAGAUAAACUCUUAUCUGUUGGUUGUUAAAUCUUUCAUCAAUGAGAUCCAGUAAAAUUAUUUGUUUCUGCAUUACUUUAUGGUAAUGAGAGACUCAUUUUUGUGUGAUUUGAAAGAAAAAUCUUGUCAUAGAAAAAUCUGAAAAGACUCGAUUUUGUCGGGAAGAUCAUAUUUUAUCCAUAAUAUUAAAUAUUUUGUUAUAACUUAUAACUAUUCUCUUGUAACAAUAAAUUAUGUUUUUAUAUUUUUUAUUGAAUUGAUGUAAGAAUAUUAAUUUAUUUUGUAUAAACUUAAUAUUAAUAAAAUUAUUAUAUUUUUUUUAAAAAAAUGACUAGUGCUGUUAAUUGUAAAUAAUUAUGUGAAUAUUGUAAAUACUUAUCAUAUACGAAAGGACUGGUCGUAUUAUUUCAAGGACGAUCAAUUUAAUUUGAUAAUUGAAUAUAUUAUAAGGCUGAACCGAAAGGACUGUUGGCAGUAAGAAAUAGUAUAUGAUUGAAUUAUUUUGGAUUCUUGGACAUAAUGAAGCAAUUCGCUUUUAAUUCUUCAGCUACCAUAAUUAAUAAUAUUGAGGUGAAAGAGCCGUUCGAAGAAAAGCGCCUUGUGUUAUAUUAAUAAUAUUUUUUUUAUUUUUUAAAAAUUAUUUUUGAUAUUAGUAUAUCAAAAUGAUUUAAAAAUAUUAAAAAAAUAUUAAUUUAAAGUUAAUAAAAAAAUAAAUAAAUAUUAAAUUUUUUGAAAAACGCUAUUGAAACGUGGAAACAAACAGUCUCGUCAUUGAUAUGAAAAACCUUCCAGGAAAUAAAAAACACUAGACAAUUAUCAUCCAAAUUAAAUACAAAAUUAAUGAAUUAAUAUAACAUUAAUAUUUUUAUAUAUAAAAUAACACAUUUUUAAACAUCAUUGUUCAUAAAGAUAAUAUAUAAUUAAUAUCAUAUUUUUGAACCAUGAUAUCAAUUUAAUAAAAAUUUUAUCAUCAAUAUUUUUAGCCAAAACGCGUCAUUUCAUUUAAAUGAAAAUAGCUUUGAAGUUGACCGUGUUUUUCAUUUUGGUUCUUGGUCUUGAAUUUAUACAAUUAGACUCUCAUUUUUAAAUCAUUUUUAAAUCAUUUUUUUCCCCAUUUAAGUCGACGUUGAUAUUGCUCGUUUUCAAAAAAAUACAAAAAAAUAAGAAAAAUCAAAAUUUACAAAAAAGAAAGAAGUUGAGGGACCAAGUUGAAAAACCUAGCAACAUUUUGCCUAUAAAUACUGGUUUCCUCAACACAUUCAAGGGGGGGCAAUUUUGACAACAUCUAAAAAAAAAUACAGAAAACCCUAACCUAAACCCUCUCAUACACAGCCGCCCCUUCCCUAAAAAAAAAGACAGCCGCCCCACCUUUGGCUUGGAUUUUUCGAGACCAGCCCUCUCGGCAAAAGAAAAAAACCAAAAACCCCCACCUCCUGGUUUUGAAUUUUUUCCAACAGCCGCCCCGACCUUGGCCUUUGAUUUUUGGAGAUCAGCCAAACAGCCGCACAUGAUUUUUUGAAUUUUUCUUCCCCAAAAAAAACAGUCGGACUCCAGCCUCCUCUUCCCCGGCGAUCAUUCCCUUCACCCGACUCACCCAAAACCAGAAAAAAAACCAAAGGAUCGGCACCUUUCCCCCCCGCUGGGUUCGAUUUUUUUUCUCUCCUUCCUCUCCCCUGCACACCGGCCUCAACUCCAAGCCAACCAGCGGUGAUCCCCCCUCCACAGAUCCUCCCUCUACUCUCCGCAGCUCCUCCCCCAGCGGCGGCCGAACAGAAGCAAGCCACCGCCUUCCAGAUCCUCCACCAAGCCACCGAUCUGCCACCCGAAGCAGAGGAGAAGAAGACGAAACCCAGCGGCGCCACCCGUUGCUCCGGGCUCCAGCAGUCGUCGCCUGUACAGACGAUCUGAAGAAGAAGAGGGAGCAGCAGGCGGAGAAAGAAAGAACAAAAAAAAACAGAUUUGAAAAAACUAAGAAAAACUUAAAAUUGACUGCCCUGGCUGUGUGUUUUUUUUUAUUUGCAGGGGAAGAGAUCGAAGAGAGGAGGAAGCAUUGCAGCCCCCCCCCUCACGCUGCCUGAUUUUCGGGGCGGCGCGUGGGGUCCACGCGCCGUUACUGUUCAGGCAGCCCAGAACUGUUCCUGAAGGGUUUCCCAGCACUGUUAUGGAUUGUUUAGGGACCAUUUUGUAAAUUUUAAAGUUUUAAUGUAAUUUUUGUUUAUUUAGUUUAAAUUUGUAAUAUGUGAAUGUAAAAAGAAAAAAAAAGAAGAAAAGAAAAGAAAAUAAUAAUAACAAAGGGGAUGUGUGUGUUGGCGUAUUUUUAUUUAUUUAUUUUGAAUUUGUAUUUGUAUUUGUAUUGUGGAUGUAAAAGAAAAGAAAAGAAAAGAAAAGAAAAGGAAAAAAAUGAAAAUAGUGAAAGUGUAUGUGUGUGUUUGUAUUUGUUUUAUGAAUUUGUUAUUUUAUUUAUUUCAUUAUUUAUUUUUUAGGAUAAAAUUGCAAAUCUAUUAAAGAAGAAUUUAAUAUUUUGAUCGGAUCACGGUUAAGAAUUAUUAACUUAUACGUAAGUGAUAUUUCUAAUUUCCGACGAAAAGACAAUUAUUAAAACUUCUUUAACACAUCAAAGUCGCGAAGCAGCUUACCUCAGGUAGGGUGCGUUAGGGGUGCUAAUACCUUCCCUAACCACAACUAGUUCCUUACCCGCGAAUCUCUGACCAGACCAGUCUAUCCGGUUUCCUAGUAGCCUUCAAUAAAUUACUAGGUGGCGACUCCAACGAACCAAAUUCAAACAUUACGCAACGAGACUUAAAUCGCCAGCCGAUGCCGCGCGCUGAUUUUUUUUUGGGGUGCGACAGAAUGGCGACUCCACUGGGGACGGUACUGUUUCUGACAUUAUUGGACUAAGCUUUGUGUAUUUGAUGUGUUUAAGUUUUUGCAUUUUUAUCUUUUUGUUAAUAUUUAUUUCCAUGCAUUUUAUAGAAUUGUUUCAUGCAUCACCUGUAUUUAUUUUUAAAAGCACACACAAGCUUCUAGGUUAGGUGGGGAACUAGCGAUCUGCCCUAAGACUAUCGGUCAGGGUUCAGAUGCGUGAAACACCCAACUCAUAUCUGAGUGCCUGCCUGGUAAUGGUGGGUAUACGUGCCUUAACCAUUCCUUGCAACGCCCCCAUACUGUCUUUACGAAGAACGUCACUGGGCAGAUAUGAGACCCUUUUGAGACUAGAUAGAAAACCUACCCAUGUUCACAUAAUGAAUAGAACCUGUCCUCAGGUUGUAUGUGCUACCGUUUUUUGCAUAAGGGCAAACCCUUCUUGAAGCAUCUUGAACUCGAGACUUGUGGGUGACACGUUGGCCGUUGCUCCGAAAAUUUUCAUUGUAGAGUUUGGGCAAAAAUCACGAUUCUUGUCCAUCAUACAAGAGUUACGACCAUAUUGUCACCUCUCGAAGGGUGCGUUCAUCAUAUAGAUUACAUGUUCAUACAUUUAUCAUGCAUGAACCGGGUCAAAACGUAGGUCCCCUGUACAAGUUGUGCUGCACGAGAUUGAAGAAAGAUAAUGGAAGUGAACAAAGGAGUCAGAUAUAGGUUAGUAUCAGAUUAAGGUUGAGAGCAUCAAGGGUGAAGUAGCGGGACUCAGAUCUGCUCGAACAAGUGUUGAGCAUCAAAUGGAAAGAGAAUAUCUGCACAGUCUUAUGUGGGAACACUGCUUGUUCACAUCUAAUUGAAGCUGCAUCUCUCCUUUUUCGUCAUGAACAAAAGCAACAACGCCUUCAAUCAUCAACUAAUGACAACUCUGAUUCUUGUCCAGUUGCAUUGUUAAGUGUUCAUCGCCUCCACAUCAUCUAAUGGAACCAAACAACUACCGGUCUCCUGUACAUGGUGCAUUAAUCUGCUUUGAAGUUACCCCGAUUACGAGCUCAACUCCAGUUCAGCAGCACAAGAUGGUCUGAAAAAACCAUGAUUGAACACUGAACUUCAAUGUGGCAGAGCUCUCUCUACAAAAAUCAAUUUAUGGCUCUGCAAAUUGGGAAUACAAGAGGGGAUUUAUAAGUUGCAUAUGCUACAAAUAUUUCUCUCAUCAGUUUCAGCACGAAGACCUCUUAGUAGGUUGAAGAGCCAGACCUGGUCUGAAAAAUAUGAGCAGACAUCAAACUUCAAUGUAGCAGAGCUCACUCAGCAGGAAUCUGUUUGUGGAUCCGCCAGUGGGAAGUCCAAGAAGGAAUACAGUAGUUUUAGGUCAUCUAUGAUUUUCCUCGAACAGUGUCAGUAUUAAAACGCAAAAGUAGAGAGAAGAGACAUGCCUAGACUGAAAAACAUGAACAAUACUGAAACUUCAACAGAGCAGGACUUCCUUUAUAGGUGUUUGUUUGCUGCACUGUCAGUGAGAAAUCGAAGAGGGGACAAAGGAGUUUUUAGAUUCAUCAGGUGCUCUUCCAAUAGAGACAACGUGUGAUUCCACACGUCGGUAGUGGCGAUACUACAAGUUUCUGGGUGCUGCCAAGAUUACCAAGCUGUUAGAAAGUUUUCUAACAAUCCUCAACCAACCAUAGCAACAUUGGAAGAUUGAAAUAAUGUUGUGAGGAUUUGCCGAACAAUUGAACAAGCUAUGAAGAGAAGAAAGAUUGAAGGAUCUGCCAUGGAUUCUAGAACAAUGAUGAGAGGUGAAUCAGGAGAUGACUUUGACGGUGUGAGCCCUUAAUUAUGGGGUAUAGCCAGGUCUCACGGUAGCAUCAAUUACUCAAAUAUCUUUGCCAAGAUGGGACAUUCCCUGCCAUUUAAGUUUGUCGACCAGCAUCUGCCAGAUUCCAGAAUUUUGCUUGACUCCGACAAAUCCUAUGCAACCACCAUUUUCUAGGUGGUUUAAUCCAGAUAAGAGAUGUGAUGUCAUGAUGGGGUCCUCAACCAUUUCAAUUGAUCAAUUGCAAGAAUUUCGAGAAGCGAGUCUGGAAGUUGGUGAGCAAGAGACAGGUGGAGUCGUUGAAGAAGGGUGUCACUGGCUAUAUUGUUCCCCGAACAUCUUCAUAAGGACAUGUGAUCGAAAAUGCUUGGCAAAACACAGAUAUUGCCAGAAAAGCUGAUUCGAGAAGGGUGAUGAAUAGUCAAUCAUAUUGUUAUGGAAUUCUGCAUUUUGUUUUGGGAUCACAUCUCAUCCUUCAACGAAACAUGCCUUGCUUUUGUCUCUUUGUUGUUUUGAAAUCAACAGAUGUUUAGCAUUUUAUUCUGACAAAAUAUUUUGAUCAAACUACAACAUGCGAUAAAGGUUAAUCAAUCCGGAAGAUUAGAAGUGUUUUGAUUACAGAAAUGACUCUAUGCUUGAAAAUGACAUGAGGUGACCAAACAAUUUUGAACUCAUACCUUUUGAAACUGAACCACACAUCAUAUAGCUAAGUUUUAGCAGUAUGCAUAAUGACAUGUAGUGGAUUCAAUAGUUAUGGACUCGUGAAUCAUGAUUCUUACAAGUCCUAAUCAUUACACUGGAUGAGGUCAAAAUUUAUCGGUUUUAACCGACCUUGCUUGAAAUGAGAAAAGGCCAUCUUUGAUAUCCCUUCACUUUCUAAAGAUUAUAUCCCUUGCAGUCCCAUUUUGAGCCUGGUAAAAUAUUUUCUUUCAAAAAAGAAAACCUUGACUAGGAUCACACCCCACACUGGGGGCAAAUGAGAGAUAUUUUGGAGACAUUGAUAUAAUUAAUGGAUAAAGGGGAAGGCUUAGAACAAAGGUCCAAUGAUUGAGAGAGAGCUAAAAGAAAACACAUAGACUGGGGGCAUAUAAGAAAAUUUUGAGGAAGGCUAUGAAAAAAAAGAGAAUAAAAAAAGGAAGUUGAAAUUGCCCUCACUUAAAUACAAGUCAAAGAUAAAGGAAGGAGAACGCCUAUCAAGUCUAUGAAGAGCAAAAGAAAUUUCAAUCAAGGAAAUGCACAACAAAAGUCAAUACCAGAAAAGACUAAGCUAUAAACGUGACUUUUGGUGUCCAUUAUAAAGCUUUUGAUGUUAUCAGAUGAUUAAGGUUGGUUAUUCAUCAAGGAAAGGUGGAUUUGCAUUAUAACUUAUGUUAAGAAAAGUCUGAACUUUGAGGUUAACAAGGUUAUAUGUCGUUUCCUCUACAAAGACAACAAUAUAAAAGAGUUGAUGAAUAGUUGAUGUUGAUCCUAGGUCUUUGAAACCCUCAAACACCUUUUGAGCCUUUGAAAUUCCUUUCUUUCAUAGCCAUGAACCAUAGCCUGCAUUACGUGCUUUUAAAAGCCCUUUUUAAUCAAGCAAGCAAUUUGAACCGAUAAAUGGCGCUCUCAAAAUUUGAAGAGUUUUUCCAUAAGGGUCGUGACUUCAUGAAUUAAGCUAUUGGUUAUUAUGCAUGCUGAUAAAACAAGUUAUAAGAAGAGAAACAACCUUUCUUGAUAAAGCCGGAGUUUUGACUUGAAUUUUGUUUUUUUUGAAAUUCAUGCAAAGGUCACCUCAUCAGACUAUCAAAUGAUAUACCCAAUAUCAAGGAUUCAAAUUGAUACAAAGAACCAUGGAAAAAGCCAUUUUUUAAUCCUACAUUGGGUCAAUUUCUGUUUUCAAAAUGCAUGACAAUCAAAGGACGAUAUAUUUCGAAUAAAAUGUGUUGGGCCUUUGAUCAAAAAGCUUGAUUUUCAAAAGAUUUUGAAAAAAGACAUCUCUGAUUUCAUUUCAACAAAUUAGACUUUGAAUAGACAUGAUCUUUGAAAUAUGAGAGUUGAUUCCAGAACAAGGAAGAUCAUCAAACACAGAAGAACAUUGAUUGAGUAUGCAAAAUCGUUGAUAGAAAUGACAUUGAAGUCCUCGACACUCCUUGAAAAGUUGAGCAGCUGAGGGCAAUACAGUAGACCUUGAAAAGGAAAAACAAGCAGUGCUCAGAUCAGCUAUGAGGCAAUGUUUAAAUGAUGAAUCAGUGAACUGAAGACAAUGAUGUUCAAAGACAGAUAAUCAAUGAACGAGCACACACGGAUCAUACUGGGGGCAAUGUCAUUCCAAAAUGGCCCAUGCUUUAGUUGAAUCCUGUCGGCAAUGGAGAAACAAAAACGUACCUGAAGGGCACUUUCCUAUCAUCAUUUUUUGAAACAGGGCUCGCGAUCGAUGAGGAAUACACAGAUGAAUGUAAUUGAAUGGAGAAAAGAUGCAUACCACCAAGACUGACUGUGGAACAAUGCUGCACUUAAAGGACAAUCUCAUAUUGUCAUUCUUUGAAAUAUGGUUAUAGACAGAUGUUAUCACACACUGCACUGAAUGAAUGUCGGAAAGGCACCCACCUCGAAGACUGAUUGUGGGACAUCUAUUCUGAAGCUCAAAUGCGCACUUCACCGCAUGAAUAUGGGUGAUAACAUGAACAUCAUUGAUGAUGCCAAAGCAGGUAUUUUCACGAUCUGAUUUGACAAGCUAAGAGGAAUCCAUAGAGAAAUACAUCGCGCUUACAAUGAUGAGUUGUUUACUGCAAAGCAUGAGAUACAUGUCUGGAUGACUUGGCAGUUCCAUGAAGGCUGGUGACCAUACAUACUUGAAUGGUGUUUCAACCGAAGACAAGUUCAUGACUGAUUAACAAACGUGAUGGGUGUUGGCAUGAUGCAUACAAUCAAUCAGAGGAUAAGUUCUCAGAAGAAGCCAGGAGAGAAAAUCUCUCAUGAUGAAUCAAGCAGUACUACACUUGGGGGCAGGGUCAAGCUUCAUGAACGAUGCAAGCAGUAAUUGUCGAAGACAGCCCGGGAUGGGCACUGCAUUUACAGCUGAGUGGAUGGCUAACACAUGAAUGAGCCAAUACAUCGGAAGAACAAAGAAAGCUUUGGGAUACAAACAAGGGCACCCUAUGACGAUGGAGCAUCAAAGAGGGGGGACCUAUAUUUCAAAUCAGGUAAGGAUGCAUGCAUAUCAUCUAACCUCAAAAAAAAAAAAAAAAAAAAAAACACACACCAUUUGCACAUAUUUUUCAAUUAUCACAGGAAAAUCCCAAAGAAAUGAAGAGAUCAACAUUGCAACCGGGAAGCCUCGAGUUUUCAACCCUUGCAGUCAGGAAACACCGAGUUUUCAAACCCCAUGAUCAGGAAUUAGCAGGAAGCACCGAGUUUUCCAGCCCUUUCUUCUGUCAUCCCUUCAGAACUUCGCCAGGUAAGUCCUAUUUUUCACACCGCACUUCAUCAUAUUUUUUCCAUCUGGGUAGGUCACCCAUUACAAUGAGACCACACUUCAUAUUUUUUCCACGUGGGUAGGUCACCCAUUACAAUGAGACCGCACUUCACUUUUUUUCCAUCUGGGUAGGUCACCCAUACAAUGAGACCAUCAUUUUUCUGGGGUUCGUCACCCAUACAAUGAGACCAUCAUUUUUUUGGGUUCGUCACCCAUACAAUGAGACCAUCAUAUUUCUAGGGUUCGUCACCCGUACAAUGAGACCAGCAUUUUUCUAGGGUUCGUCACCCGUACAAUGAGACCAGCACUAGGGUUCGUCACCCGUACAAUGAGACCAGCACUAGGGUUCGUCACCCGUACAAUGAGACCAGCAGCACUAGGGUUCGUCACCCGUACAAUGAGACCAGCAUUUUUCGAGGGUUAGUCACCCGUACAAUGAGACCAGAAGGAGGUCGCCAGAUGGGAUCUCAUGUAGCUUUGGUUAAAGGGAAUUGCCAGAUGGGAUUUCAGGUUAACCGAGUUACACAUAUUUCAUUCCAGAAGGAGGUCGCCAGAUGGGAUCUCAUGUAGCUUUGGUUAAAGGGAAUUGCCAGAUAGGAUUUCAGGUUAACCGAGUUACACAUAUUUCGUUCCAGUUGAAUGAGGUCGCCAGAUGGGAUCUCAUGUAACUUUGGUUAAAGGGAAUCGCCAGAUGGGAUUUCAGGUUAACCGAGUUACACAUAUUUUCGUUCCAGUUGAAUGAGGUCGCCAGAUGGGAUCUCAAGUAAACCCAAUGUAUGGGCAGGUCGCCCGUGAAAAUAGACUAUUGGGAGAGUGCGGGUCGGUCGCCCGUGAAAAUAGACUUGAGUGAGUACGUGUGGGUAGGUCGCCCGUGAAAAUAGACCAGAGUGAGUAUGCGUGGGCAGGUCGCCCGUGAAAACAGAUCAGUGUGAGUGUGUGGGCAGGUCGCCCAAGAUAAUGAAAUCAUUUUCCUUUUGUUUUCUUUACAAAGCUUACUAUGCAAAAAUUUGAAGAGUUUUGCUUCGUAAGCAUGUGUAAAGAGGGGGCAUCUGGUACCCAAGUUUUGACCCAUGUUUUGAUAUAUUUCAAAAAAAAUCCAAAAAAUUGAGAAAAGCAAAAAAAUCCAAAAAUAUGUUUUUAAUAUAUUUUCGUCAUUUUAGCAUUUCAACGUCGUUUAAAAAGGAAUUUAAAUUGUUAAAAGAUUUUCAAACGCGUUCGACGUUUCACGCGUCAUUUGUAAAUCAUUGAUUUCCGCAUUUAAGUCGACGUUGAUAUUGCUCGUUUUCAAAAAAUACAAAAAAAUAAGAAAAAUUAAAAUUUACAAAAACAAAGAAGUUGAGGGACCAAGUUGAAAAACCUAGCAACAUUUUGCCUAUAAAUACUGGUUUCCUCAACACAUUCAAGGGGGGGGCAAUUUUGACAACAUCUAAAAAAAAAUACAGAAAACCCUAACCUAAACCCUCUCAUACACAGCCGCCCCUUCCCUAAAAAAAAAGACAGCCGCCCCACCUUUGGCUUGGAUUUUUCGAGACCAGCCCUCGGCAAAAGAAAAAACCAAAAACCCCCACCUCCUGGUUUUUGAAUUUUUUCCAACAGCCGCCCCGACCUUGGCCUUUGAUUUUGGAGAUCAGCCAAACAGCCGCACAUGAUUUUUUGAAUUUUUCUUCCCCAAAAAAAAACAGUCGGACUCCAGCCUCCUCUUCCCCGGCGAUCAUUCCCUUCACCCGACUCACCCAAAACCAGAAAAAAAACCAAAGGAUCGGCACCUUUCCCCCCGCUGGGUUCGAUUUUUUUUUCUCUCCUUCCUCUCCCCUGCACACCGGCCUCAACUCCAAGCCAACCAGCGGUGAUCCCCCCUCCACAGAUCCUCCCUCUACUCUCCGCAGCUCCUCCCCCAGCGGCGGCCGAACAGAAGCAAGCCACCGCCUUCCAGAUCCUCCACCAAGCCACCGAUCUGCCACCCGAAGCAGAGGAAGAAGACAAAACCCAGCGGCGCCACCGUUGCUCCGGGCUCCAGCAGUCGUCGCCUGUACAGACGAUCUGAAGAAGAAGAGGGAGCAGCAGGCGGAGAAAGAAAGAACAAAAAAAAACAGAUUUGAAAAAACUAAGAAAAACUUAAAAUUGACUGCCCUGGCUGUGUGUUUUUUUUAUUUGCAGGGGAAGAGAUCGAAGAGAGGAGGAAGCAUUGCAGCCCCCCCCCUCACGCUGCCUGAUUUUCGGGGCGGCGCGUGAGCCCACGCGCCGCCAGUCACGGCGGUGCGUGGGGUCCACGCGCCGUUACUGUUCAGGCAGCCCAGAACUGUUCCUGAAGGGUUUCCCAGCACUGUUAUGGAUUGUUUAGGGACCAUUUUGUAAAUUUUAAAGUUUUAAUGUAAUUUUUGUUUAUUUAGUUUAAAUUUGUAAUAUGUGAAUGUAAAAAGAAAAAAAAAAGAAGAAAAGAAAAAAAAAUAAUAAAAAGGGAUGUGUGUGUUGGCAUAUUUUUAUUUAUUUUUUGAAUUUGUAUUGUAUUUGUAUUGUGGAUGUAAAAGAAAAGAAAAAGAAAAGAAAAGAAAAGAAAAAAAAAUGAAAAUAGUGAAAGUGUAUGUGUGUGUUUGUUUUGUUUAUGAAUUUGUUAUUUUAUUUAUUUCAUUAUUUAUUUUUUUAGGAUAAAUUGCAAAUCUAUUAAAGAAGAAUUAAUAUUUUGAUCGGAUCACGGUUAAGAAUUAUUAACUUAUACGUAAGUGAUAUUUCUAAUUUCCGACGAAAAGACAAUUAUUAAAACUUCUUUAACACAUCAAAGUCGCGAAGCAGCUUACCUCAGGUAGGGUGCGUUAGGGGUGCUAAUACCUUCCCUAACCACAACUAGUUCCUUACCCGCGAAUCUCUGACCAGACCAGUCUAUCCGGUUUCCUAGUAGCCUUCAAUAAAUUACUAGGUGGCGACUCCAACGAACCAAAUUCAAACAUUACGCAACGAGACUUAAAUCGCCAGCCGAUGCCGCGCGCUGAUUUGUUUUUGGGGUGCGACAAGUAUAUCAAAAUGAUUUAAAAAUAUUAAAAAAAUAUUAAUUUAAAGUUAAUAAAAAAAUAAAUAAAAAUUAAAUUUUUUGAAAAACGCUAUUGAAACGUAGAAACAAACAGUCUCGUCAUUGGUAUGAAAAACGUUCCAGAAAAUAAAAAAACACUAGACAAUUAUCAUCCAAAUUAAAUAAAAAAUUAAUGAAUUAAUAUAACAUUAAUAUUUUUCCUUGGCAUUAAUAAAAAAUUAAUGAAUUAAUAUAACAUUAAUGAAAAUUAUCCAUCAAGGACUUGGGGCCCUUACAUUUUUCCUUGGCAUUGAAGCCAUCCCUACUGCUGAUGGCUUGUUUCUAAAUUAGCAUCAGUAUAUUCGAGACUUGCUUACUAAAACCAGUAUGGAUGGAGCUAAGGAUGUCACAACUCCCCUCUCUGUCUCGGUUCCUUUAAAGCUGGCAGAUGGUUCCUCAACAAUUGAUCCCACAAAAUAUCGAUGAGUGAUUAGUGCAUUGCAAUACCUCAGCUUAACUCGUCUUGAUAUCAGUUUUGCAGUCAAUAAACUCUCACAAUUUAUGCAUCGUCCAACACAGAUUCACUGGACCGCCACAAAAUUACUACGGUGUUAUCUAAAUAACACUAUCUUGCAUGGCAUAAAUAUCAGGAACACUUCAAACCUAGCCUUGACAUGUUUCUCAUAUGCUGAUUGGGAUGGUAGCUUGGAUGACAGAAAAUCAACUUCAUCUUAUAUUAUUUUCCUUUGUCCCACAUUUAUCUCAUGGAGCUCGAAAAAGCAACGUGCCAUUGCUCGGUCAUCCACCGAAGCUAAAUAUAAGGCUUUAGCCACUACUGCAGCUGAGUCCAUGUGGCUGCUCUCCCUACUUCACAAAAUGAAGUUUUCCUUACUACACUCACCUAUACUUUUCUGUGAUAAUUUAGGAGGCACUCAGUUAAGAUUUAAUCCUAUCAAGCACUCAAGAAUGAAGCACAUUCAAAUAGACCUUCACUUUGUGCGAGAUUUGGUUGAAAAAAAGCUUAUUCAUGUUCGUCAUGUCCACAUUAAUGACCAGCUUGCUGAUUUACUCACCUAGCCACUUUCUAGACAAUGGACAUAAUUUCUACGAGACAAGAUUAGCCUAACUGAUGGUAGCUCGUUCUUGCGGGGGCGUAUUAAGGAAACUAAGAAAAUCACAUCAAUCACAGCAGUGCCACCUCCAGUCUAGUUGUCACCAUUUAUGUCAAUACCAAAUCUUGUGUAUUUCAUAAUUUUAGGAUCAAUUUUCUUUCUAUUAAAUAUAUUUGAUUGCCUAAACUUAUGCUCUUGGGUUGUAUAAAGAUACAGAGUAUAUACAGAGACAAAUGUGUAUUUUUAUAAUAAGAACAACCAUAACAUUUUGCAUCCUCUUUAAUAACUACUAUGAGUUUUCAUAUGACAGUAAUUUUACUGAAGGGUAUGAUGUAGAAGAUGGGUGGCUUUCCUGAAGUAGUUGAGGUCUCUAUAGAUUAGUGAAACUUUUUAUUUUUUAUUGGAAAAAAACUUGGAAAAGAAAAUUAUUUUGUGAUACGGAACUAGCUCCCUCGACUCCAAAUCUAGGAGAAUAUGUCAUUUAAAUAAGGAUUUAGAAAUUGAGUUUUGUUAUUCAAAAGAGAUAAACUCUUAUCUGUUGGUUGUUAAAUCUUUCAUCAAUGAGAUCCAGUAAAAUUAUUUGUUUCUGCAUUACUUUAUGGUAAUGAGAGACUCAUUUUUGUGUGAUUUGAAAGAAAAAUCUUGUCAUAGAAAAAUCUGAAAAGACUCGAUUUUGUCGGGAAGAUCAUAUUUUAUCCAUAAUAUUAAAUAUUUUGUUAUAACUUAUAACUAUUCUCUUGUAACAAUAAAUUAUGUUUUUUAUAUUUUUUAUUGAAUUGAUGUAAGAAUAUUAAUUUAUUUUGUAUAAACUUAAUAUUAAUAAAAUUAUUAUAUUUUUUUUAAAAAAAUGACUAGUGCUGUUAAUUGUAAAUAAUUAUGUGAAUAUUGUAAAUACUUAUCAUAUACGAAAGGACUGGUCGUAUUAUUUCAAGGACGAUCAAUUUAAUUUGAUAAUUGAAUAUAUUAUAAGGCUGAACCGAAAGGACUGUUGGCAGUAAGAAAUAGUAUAUGAUUGAAUUAUUUUGGAUUCUUGGACAUAAUGAAGCAAUUCGCUUUUAAUUCUUCAGCUACCAUAAUUAAUAAUAUUGAGGUGAAAGAGCCGUUCGAAGAAAAGCGCCUUGUGUUAUAUUAAUAAUAUUUUUUUUAUUUUUUAAAAAUUAUUUUUGAUAUUAGUAUAUCAAAAUGAUUUAAAAAUAUUAAAAAAAUAUUAAUUUAAAGUUAAUAAAAAAAUAAAUAAAAAUUAAAUUUUUUGAAAAACGCUAUUGAAACGUGGAAACAAACAGUCUCGUCAUUGGUAUGAAAAACCUUCCAGAAAAUAAAAAACACUAGACAAUUAUCAUCCAAAUUAAAUACAAAAUUAAUGAAUUAAUAUAACAUUAAUAUUUUUAUAUAUAAAAUAACACAUUUUUAAACAUCAUUGUUCAUAAAGAUAAUAUAUAAUUAAUAUCAUAUUUUUGAACCAUGAUAUCAAUUUAAUAAAAAAUUUAUCAUCAAUAUUUUUAGCCAAAACGCGUCAUUUCAUUUAAAUGAAAAUAGCUUUGAAGUUGACCGUGUUUUUCAUUUUGGUUCUUGGUCUUGAAUUUAUACAAUUAGACUCUCAAUUGAUCAAUAAACUUCUAAUUUCUUCAUUUUGUCCCCUGAUUCGGUUUAAUUGCAGCCACUCUAUUUACGCGUCUUUUCCAGUUUGCUCCUUAGUUUCGGAUUUCUUCAAUUAAGUCCCUAAUUGGCCAUCAAACUUCAGUAUUUAUAUUAAAAAUUAUAUUGAUAAUAUUUUUUUAUUUUUAAAAAAUUAUUUUGAUAUCAGCACAUUAAAAUAAUUUAAAAAUACUAAAAAUAUAUUAAUUUAAAAUUAAUAAAAAAAUAAAAAAAAAUUCAAAUUUUUUCAAAAAUACUUUUGAAACGCAGAAACAAAUCAUUGGUAUGAAAAAGGUUCCAAAAAUAAGAAAAAUUAGGCAACUAUCAUCCAAAUUAAAUAAAAAAUAAUGAAUUAAUAUAACAUCAAUUUUUAUAUAUAUAAAAUAACACAUUUUUAAACAUCAUUGUUCAUAAAGAUAAUAUAUAAUUAAUAUUAUAUUUUUAAACCACGAUAUCAAUUUAAUUAAAAUUUUAUCAUCAAUAUUUAAUUAGCUUUAAUAAAAGAAAAAAAUUAAUUAAGUUCUUGUCAUUUUUAUUAUAUAAUAAAGUAUAUUUAUUGAAUUUAGUCUUAAUAGUUUAAGUUUAAUAAACAUAGCAUAGCAUGACUGAAAAACAUGAAAGGAUAUCACUCUAAUUAAUAUUUGAAAGACAUGCAUUUUUAAUUCGCAUAGCCGUCCACUCCCCUUUUAUUUCACAAGCCUCAACUUUUCUCGAGUAGAAGUUUAGAUUUAUGAGAUCAUUAAACAAUAUCUAUCACUUCAUAGACCAAUGUAAUUAUUCAUUAAGGUGUGAUUUGAUCACCUAAUUUUGAAUUUCUAGAGUCAAGAACCAAAUUAAAACACCAAGAGCUUUUCUAUUUGCAACCAAUUCAGCUUGAUUUGAAUACAUUACUCUGAUCAUGAUUGAAAAUAGUUAUUUCACAAUAUAAAUUCCAAAACUAAUUUUAUUUAAUUAUACAUAAUUAAAAUUAUUUUUUUUAAGGGAUUUAGAUUUUGAAGAAGAAAAUAUACUUUUUUUUUUAAGUCCCCAAUCCUUAUUUAUAAUCAUUUUUUAUGAUAAAAAUCUUUUUAUUAACGACAUUAUUUUUUUAACAAUCUGAAUACUUUACUUUAAGAAGGGAAAAAUUAUUUCUUGGGGAAAAACUUUCAUUUCCUUAUUGUUUUUUUCUUACAAAAACGUAAUUAAAUUAUGUUUUUUUCUUACAAAAAUAAUAAAUGCUACAUUAUGGCACUUCUGAAUUUAAACGAUUGAAUUAUUUUUUAUUCUUGCGCAUAAUGAAGUAAUUCGCUUUUAUUUCUUCAUCUACCAUAAUUAUUAUUAUUAUUUUUGUUUUAUUUACGUGGGUGUCCGGGCCAGCUUGCACACACCACGACUAAUCCCACGGCUCAUUGAACAUCCUGUAAACUCAGUGAGCAUGUAAGGCACCGCGAGGGUGAUAGGCGUACAGUUGAGGCUUGAAUCCAGGAUGCAGAGGCAAGGAAACCCCUUGCCACCGCUGGGCUAGAAGCCUUGUUGUGUAUCUACCAUAAUUACUUGCUGGUCGGGGUAAGAACCGUACGAAGAAAAACACCAUGUGUGCUCAAUUUCAUCAUUGGUGUGAAAAACGUUCGAAGAAAAGAGAUAAAUUGGGCAUACAAGUUAAAAAGAAAUGAUGAAUUAACACGGUAAUAAAAAGUUUUCAUGAAAUAAUAUAAUUUUAAAUAUUAUGGUUUAAAAAUAUAACAUAUAUUUAAUGUUAUGAUUCUAAACCGAUUUAAUCAAUGUUUUGUUGCUGAACCGCAAUACCAAGUUAUUUCCUUCACAUUUUUGCUUCACUUAAUAACUAUUACACCUAUAUAAUAUCAAUUACACUAGAGCAUAAUCAUGCAUUGUAUAAACACCUUUUAAAAUAUGGUUAGAUGAUUCUUUGAAUUUAUAAUUGAAAUUGUUAAUAAAAUAUCAGGCAUAUUAUCAAUGGUAUUCUAUAAGCUUAAACUAAAUUUUUUCUACUCCAUUCUUUAUUGAUGAAUGUUUAUCUAAUAUUAUACAAAUACAUGUUUUUCACUAGUAACAUGUCUUUGUAAACAAAGAAAAAACAACGCUAAUUAGAAUUAUUUUCUUCAACAAUUGUAAAAGCCAAUGAGAAUAUCCUAUUAUUUGCAUCAAAAGCAACUACAAGUUAUAACUUCUUAUCAUAUCGCCUCUAUAAAUAUUGUCAUCAACACUAAUAAGUGCUCUACAGUAAUUGAAAUUUUCAAUACACGAUUUAAAUAACAAAAACAAAAAAACUAAAAACAAAAGAGAAUAAAAAAGACUUUUUCUAGGUAUAGUUAAAAGGGAUGUUGCAUUGUCAAUACUGUCAAGUGAAGAAUUGUAUAAUAUGAUUUCAUAAUAUGAGGGUAUUAUGUUUGGUUUUUAUUGUGGUAAUAAUAAAUUUCUUGUUUUUGAUAUGACAGAAAAUUGGAUAAAACAAAGUAUUUUUUUAAAGUUUUGAAAACUAAACAUUCAAUAAGUCUGGUUGGCAGUAAGAAAUAUAUGAUUGAAUUAUUUUGGAUUCUUGGGCAUAAGGAAGCAAUUCGCUUUUAAUUCUUCAGCUACCAUAAUCACUGCGGACUCACAGGCAUGUGGUUGAGGUGUAAGAGCUGUCCGAAGAAAAGCACCUUGUGUGCUCAAUUUCAUCAUUGGUAUGAAAAACGUUUCAGAAAAUGAAACAAACUAGGCAAUUAUCAUAUAAAUUAAAUAAAAAAUAAUAAAUUAAUAUAACAUCAAUUUUUUUAUAUAUAUAAAAUAACACAUCUUUAGAUAUCAUUGUUCAUAAAGAUAAUAUAUAAUUAAUAUCAUAUUUUCGAACCAUGAUAUCAAUUUAAUUAAAAUUUUAUCAUCAAUAAUUUAGCUUUAAUAAAAGAUAAAAAAUUAAUUAAGUUCUUGUCAUUUUUAUUAAAUAAUAAAGUAUAUUUAUUGAAUAGUCUUAAUAGUUUAAGUUUAAUAAACAUAGCAUAGCAUGACUGAAAAACAUGAAAGGAUAUCACUCUAAUUAAUAUUUGAAAGGCAUGCAUUUUUAAUUCGCAUAGACUAUUUAUAAAAUCACACUUAAUGGAUUACAAUAGUUGGAUAAAAUAAAAAAACCAUACUAUUUGUUUUGGGAAAGUCUAGUAAAUGAACAGCCGGUGAAUUUAUAAAAUUAAAAAAUAUAUGUUUUUACUAAAUAAUGAAUAGGUAUUAAUUUAUUCUUUGUUAUAAAACUGAACACUCUUUUAUACAGGGUGUUUAUUUUGCAUAAUAUUUUAUAAAAACAAUAUUUUCCUGUUGUACAAUAAUUAUUUUUCAUAAAAUAUUUUAUGGUCAACUUUUAAAUUUAAUUCAUAUAUUGUAAAUAUUUUCAGCUUACAAGGUUUUUUAAAUUAUUUUAUAGAUAAUAAUUCAUUAUCAAUAUCAUCCAAUAAUACCAUUAUUAUCAUCUGACCUCUACCAACUUCUUAUCCUUAUCCUUAACCUAGCCAUCAAUGCUACCGCAAUUAUUGAUAUUAUUAUUUUAUCAUUAUCAUUUUACUACCACUAUAUUUUUAUCACAUCAUUAUUCAUAAAAAAAAUAUUAUAAAAAUACUAUCCAUAUAAAAUGUUUUAUAAAAAACUAUUUUAUAUGUAAAAUAUUUUAUAUUGGCAAGAACAAUUCUCUCUUAUAUCAAACAUUUUAAAGUCACAAUUAAAAUAAAUAUUCAUAACAAUCUCAAUACUUUAAGAAGGGAAAAUUUUAUUUCUUGGGGAAAAACUUUCAUUUCCUUAUUGUUUUUUCUUACAAAAACAUGUCGUUUUAGGAGCAUAUUUUUUAAAAUAAUAACUUAUUCUAAUCUAAAGAGCAAGUUUCAAACAAAAAUAAAAAUAAAAACUCAUGUCUUCAUUGAAUAUUCAUAUACAAUUUCAUUUUACAGUAUUGUGCAUAUUACACUCAUAUAUAAUUAUUAACAAAGUUAUUACAAAUAUAACUAUAAAAAGCUAUCAUUUUAUUUAAAAAAUAUGACAAUCAGAUUUUUUUAAAUAUCAUUGUAAAUAAUAAUUUAAAGCAAUUUUUUAAAUUAAAAAAAAAGUAUUUUCUUGGCUCAGAAGGUCAGGCUAGCAUGGCAUUUUUUCUUUUACAUUAAUCGGUAGACUAAAAAAAAAGUUAUGUAAAAAACAAAAAAAAACUUUAAGAAUUCAUCGAUAACAUUCCUACUGCUGAACCAACUGUCAUAUGCACAGCAUGAUGGCCAACACUUUUAGUUUCUCCUAACCUGUAUAGUAUCCUUAUAUCUGAGCUACCACGUCUUGCUACACUGCGAACACAGUACCAAAAAUCAUAAUUCGAAAAAUAAUAUAAUGUAGAAGGAAAAAAGGGGAAAAGCCGAAGUGAGUCAAAGAAAGAUAAGCUUAUCAUGUUCACAUAUGGGACUUCACAGAUACAAAUAUAAAAGUAGAGUUCUUUUGGUUUAUGAACGUACAUAUGUAUCCUUCUUUUGAUUUCAAUGGCAAGUGUAUCUCCGAAUAGACUUCCAUACGUUAAGAAUAAAUCUCUCUAUGAAUGGAUUUUAUUGUUAUUGUAAUUGUUAUGGUCUUCUUGAGGUGAAUUCCCUUCUAGCAGGCAUCAUUAUGAAUUCAUUAAUUAAAAUCAUAACAACUUUCGGAAUGCGUAAAUGCAAAUUUUAUUGGAAUUAUAUUGUGCAAGGCUAUGAAAAGACAGUAUAUAUGUCUUUCUAUUGUUCUUACAGUCACAAUAUCUUAGUCUCUGACUGCUUAUUAGACAAUCGUCUUCUCCAUCAGAGCUGGGCAUGGUUGAUAUCGUAAGCAUCAGAAUCACCAAGCUUCAGCUUAACUAGUUCGCUGAUAUCAUAUGGAUAGGCGUCCUUUGGUGACUGACGUUUAUAUGCUCUUUUUCCAAAGGCCCAAGCUUUAGCUUCAGUAAAAUGGGCUCCGUCCCAGUACACAUAGUCACUCCUGUUGCUACAUGGGAAGGAGAGAGAUUUACAUGGGACUGUACCAGGUUCUACGUCGCAACAGCUCUUACGGGUAUGUGUGAAACCUGCAAGCAAGAAAAAAUAAUUUUGGUCUCACAAAAAGUCUUUGUGAAAUAAUUAAUUCGACUUAUAAACUUAAGCUAUUAGAUAAGAUUUCAAGAUAUAAUUUAUAUUAUUUUUUAACACAUCUCCUCAAGUGAAAGCUCUUUCAACAUACCUUGUGUUUAAUUUUUAUCAAAUAAAUAGGGAUGGUAAGAUUCAAACUCGUGACCAUUAGGUCAUCAAGGCUUUGAUAGCAUGUCAAAAAACCAAUUCAACCUAAAAAUUUAAACUGCUAGGUAAAGUUCAAGAUAUGAUUUAUAUUAUUUUCUAAUAGUCUUCAACCAUGAGAGGUAAAGGGAGGGAGGGGAUUCGUACCUGUAUUUGUCUGAUCAUCAGAAUCAAUUUCGUAAGAGUUUAUGUAGGUAAACACAGCAUCAGCAUGCCUAUUAUUAAAUUUUCUGAGCAGUUCUUGAAGCUUGUGGUUGAAAAUUUGAACAUCAUCAUUGAGCUUGUAUGCACAUGAAGAUGCAUCUAGUUCAUUGGGAUGUUUUUGUAUGUUUGACGGCAUACAUCCUACCCGAAUAAGUCCGAACACAGCUAUCUUUCUUGCUCCUGAGCAAUACAGUUUCUGGCAGCAAGGGAAAAAAAACGGAAUGAAGUGGGGGUCUUUGUUAGUUUCCAAUCGCGUCAAACAUUAAUUGUUGUUUUACAAGAGACAUUAAGUAGGGCUAACCUCCAGCUGAGUUUCAUAAGUUUCAAUGAGAAGAUGAGCAAAAUAUAAUUAGACGUGGUUAAUUGUAUUUAGAUACGUAUUUGGUAAAAAUUAUGGUUGAGAUUUACGUGCAGUAAAAAAACAUGUAUAAAAUGUUUGGAUGUGAUUGCUUUUUAAAAGUGCUUUUUACUUGGAAAUGCAUCAAAAUAAUCUGAAAAUACAAAAAAAAUAAGUAAAGAAAAAAAUAAAAAAACUUUAAAUUUUUUAAAAAAUGCUUUUGAAACGCAAAAACAAACAUAGUUUUACGAAACUCAGUUAAAAAAACAUGUAAAAAAUGCUUCAUAAAAAAUGUGUUUCAAACUCAAUUUUUUAAUGGCCCCCACAAUAUAAAAUGCAGUUUGGUGUAUUACCAAACAACUAACUAUGUUUUUUACUCCACAAACACAAAAGCUAAGACUAAACAAACGUACCUUUACAACUAUUGCUAUAAUUAUUUUAUCACCUAAAUAUAUCAUUAUCAUUUUACUACCAUUAUAUUUUUGUCACAUCAUUAUUUAUAAAAAAAUAUUAUGAAAAUACUAUCCAUAUAAAAUGUUUAUAUGUAAAAUAUUUUAUAUUGGUAAAAACAAUUAUCUCUUAUAUCAAACAUUAAAAGACACAAUUACAUAAUUACAUUGAUAAAAAAAAAUUCACAAUUGCAAAUUUAAUUUAUAUUAACUACUUGAAUAAAUGAUUUUUUCAUAUAUAAUUCAAAUGAAUUAAAACACCAAGUUACCAGAACAGCAGAAACAAGAUGAAAACAGUGCACACGUAGAAAAAAAAUGAUAAAAUACAUGAAAAGAGAACCAAAAUUACAACACCAAGAGCUUUUCUAUUUGCAACCAAUUCAGCUUGAUUUGAAUACAUUACUCUGAUCAUGAUUGAAAAUAGUUAUUUCACAAUACAAAUUCCAAAACUAAUUUUUAUUUAAUUAUACGUAAUUAAAAAGUAUUUUUUUAAGGGAUUUAGAUUUUGAAGAAAAUAUAUUUUUUAAAUUGAAGUCCCCAUUCCUUAUUUAUAAUCUUUUUUUUAUGAAAAAAAUCUUUUUAUUAAUGAUAUUAUUUUUAAAUAAAAGUCAAAGUAAUUAAAAUAAAUAUUCAUAACAAUAUCAAUACUUUAAGAAGGAAAAAUUAUUUCUUGGGGAAAAACUUUCAUUUCCUUAUUGUUUUUUUCUUACAAAAACAUGUCGUUUUAGGAGCAUAUUUUUAAAAUAAUAACUUAUUUUAAUCUAAAGAGCAAGUUUCAAACAAUAAAAAAUAAAAAACUCAUGUCUUCAUUGAAUAUUCAUAUACAAUUUUAUUUACAGUAUGUGCAUAUUACUCUCAUAUAUAAUUAUUAACAAAGUUAUUACAAAUAUAACUAUAAAAAGCUAUCAUUUUAUUUUAAAAAAUAUGGCAUAAUCAGAAUUUUUUUAAAUAUCAUUGUAAAUAAUAAUUUAAAGCAAUUUUUAUAAAUAAAAACAAAAGUAUUUCUUGGCUCAGAAGGUCAGGCUAGCAUGACAUUUUUUCUUUUAAAUUAAAAAAAACUUUAAGAAUUCAUCGAUAACAUUGCUACUGCUGAACCAACUGUCAUUUGCACAGCAUGAUGGCCAACACUUAUAUCUGAGCUACCACGUCUUGCUUCACUGCGAACACUACAAAGGAAAAAAUAAUUCUUUUGGUUUAUGUAUUUACAUAUAUCCUUCUUUUGAUUUCAAUGGCAAGUGUAUCUCCGAAUAGACUUCCAUACGUUAAUAAUAAAUCUCUCUAUGAAUGGAUUUUAUGCCUGAUAUCCACAUGAUUAAGGAAUUAAGUAAUUGUUAUUGUCUUCUUGAGGCGAAUUCCCUUCUAGCAGGCAUCAUUAUGAAUUCAUUAAUUAAAAUCAUAACAACUUUCGGAAUGCGUAAAUGCAAAUUUUAUUGGAAUUAUAUUGUGCAAGGCUAUUGAAAGACAGUAAAUAUGUCUUUCAAUUGUUCUUACAGGCACAAUAUCUUAUUCUCUGACUGCUUAUUAGACAAUCGUCUUCUCCAUCAGAGCUGGGCAUGGUUGAUAUCGUAAGCAUCAGAAUCAUCAAGCCUCAGCUUAACUAGUUCGCUGAUAUCAUAUGGAUAGGCGUCCUUUGGUGACUGACGUUUAUAUGCUCUUUUUCCAAAGGCCCAAGCUUUAGCUUCAGUAAAAUGGGCUCCAUCCCAGUACACAUAAGUCACUCCUGUUGCUACAUGGGAAGGAGAGAGGUUUACAUGGGACUGAACCAGAUGCUACCUCGCAGCAGCUCUCACGGGUAUAUGUAAAACCUGCAAGCAAGAAAAAAUAAUUUUGGUCUCACAAAAAAAGUCGUCUUCAACCGUGAGAUAAAGAGAGCAAGGGAGGGAGGGGAUUCGUACCUGUAUUUGUCUGGUCAUCAGAAUCAAUGUCGUAAGAGUUUAUGUAGGUAAACACAGCAUCAGAAUACCUAUUAGUAAGGUUUCUGAGCAGUUCUUGAAGCUUGUGGUUGAAAAUUUGAACAUCAUCAUUGAGCUUGUAUGCACAUCUAGAUGCAUCUAGUUCAUUGGGAUUUUUUUGUCUGUUGGACGGCAUACAUCCUACCCGAAUAAGUCCGAACACAGCUAUCUUUCUUGCUCCUGAGCAAUACAGUUUCUGGCAGCAAGGGAAAAAAAAACAGAAUGAAGUGGGGGUCUUUGUUAGUUUCCAAUCGCGUCAAACAUUAAUUGUUGUUUUACAAGAGACAUUAAGUAGGGCUAACCUCCAGCUGAGUUUCAUAAGUUUCAAUGAGAAGUUGAGCAAAUUCUUCAGGAGUAUGUAGCUUGCUGCUAUUGUAGUCGUCCAAGAAAUAAUUGUUGAGGUAGUCGUUAUGGCCCAUAUCAGACACAUAGAUGCAUUGGCUCAAGUACUUCCUAGCAACUUCCUCGCUUCCCAAGAUCUUGGCAAUUCGUGAAACCGUGAUAUUGUGAUUAUAUAACUGAAUAUUCAUGGUAAAUAGUUCUCCCUUCACAUACACAAAAGAAUCAUAUGAAUAGUUAGCGUUGCCAAAGCAUACAAGAUUCAUAGUACUGAAUAGUAUAAGGUUUUAGUUAUGAGAGGCAUAUGAUCAGCAAUCACCGUAAGAUAGCCAGUUAAAUCAAGGAUGCCAGCUCCAUUCGAUCCAUAAUUUACCCCAUCUAGGAAAUUGGUGCAACUUCCGAUACCAAAGUCCGAAAUGUAACUGUCGAAACCUAAUUGUUCAGCUGAAACAAAAAACUAUCUAGUGAGAACAUAUUUAUUUUCCAUUAAAGAAAACUAAAACACUAUAUUUAAUCUGUAAUGUAAGGUAGGAGAGCAAACUGCAGACCAAUGGUGUCAGCUAUGUUGAGACCGUUACUGCACCUUCCUGAAGCCCCAGUAUCAAAGUCUAUCCCAUAGGGAAGGUAAUUGACUUUAGCUGGAGUGUUAAGGUAGUUAUUGUUUCCGUUAUCAAAGAGGGAAUCUCCAAAGACGAAGUAGCAAGGAACUUGAGGUACGCGUUUUCCAUAAGUCGAGUGUUGCCAGUUUGACACCAGCAACACCGCAGACAGCACCCACAAUGCCUUAAGCCCACUUUCCAUUGACAAAUAAAAUGAAAGAAGGAAACAGAAACAAUAAAUAUAGAAAGAAGAAGUGCGU